rnacentral:rRNA from 1 species
UACGUAGGGUGCGAGCGUUGUCCGGAAUUAUUGGGCGUAAAGAGCUCGUAGGCGGUUCGUCGCGUCGAAUGUGAAAACCCGGGGCUCAACUCCGGGCCUGCAUUCGAUACGGGCGGACUAGAGUUCGGUAGGGGAGACUGGAAUUCCUGGUGUAGCGGUGAAAUGCGCAGAUAUCGGGAGGAACACCUAUGGCGAAGGCAGCUCGCUGGGACGUUACUGACGCUGAGACGCGAAAGCGUGGGGAGCAAACAGG